GCCUACGGGGGGCAGCAGUGAGGAAUAUUGGUCAAUGGUCGGGAGACUGAACCAGCCAAGCCGCGUGAGGGAUGAAGGUACAGAGUAUCGUAAACCUCUUUUGUCAGGGAACAAAGGCGGGGACGUGUCCCCGGAUGAGUGUACCUGAAGAAAAAGCAUCGGCUAACUCCGUGCCAGCAGCCGCGGUAAUACGGAGGAUGCGAGCGUUAUCCGGAUUUAUUGGGUUUAAAGGGUGCGCAGGCGGUCUGUUAAGUCAGCGGUCAAAGUCCGGGGCUCAACCCCGUCCCGCCGCUGAAACUGGCAGU
rnacentral:rRNA from 1 species